rnacentral:lncRNA from 1 species
ACGCACGUCUGAUCUGAUGCUUUCCCCUCCUUUGAAGAAAACACACCCCACAGACGAUCUGUGAAAUGCCCCUCUCCCCACCCUCCAGCACCGCCAUUCUCAGGAACCAGAUAGUGUCCUGUGGACAUGGGGUGAGCAGUGGACCAGGAAGACCUAUGGGCCCUGCCAGCGGCUCACAGAGCAGGGGAAAGCACAGAGUCCCCAGCUCCCAGCCCUCGGGCUGUGCCCUGUGGCAGUCACCCUGCUGGAGCCCAGACUGGGAACCCCGAGGGGCGCGAAGCCUCGGACUGGGGCCCUCAGCAGCCUGAAGAGCCCGCUGGGGUUAUUCCAGCAUCUGCCAGAGCACCCCUGCUCCCCGUCGCCCGGUAACAGCUUGUAUUCUGGAAACAAGAGCUUUUAUUGGGGAGGGGGCGUUAGAUCAGGCACAAGGAGGUAGGUGGUCCCCGCUGUACUCCCAAAACUGGGUUUUCUAGUUUGAACUUCUCCACGGCCUAAGAGGCUUAGGACUGGAAUGUCCCGGAGAGUCAUGGAUGGCCCCGGGGGCAGGCCAUGGCACAUUCCUUCCUUUUUCCUAAAAUCCCUUGGUCCUGGGAGCAAGGAUUAGAGUAGGUACCCCCAUGGGUGGGGAGCAGGGUGCCCCCAUGAGGACCUUCCAAUGAUCCUUCCCAAAUUAAAUGACUAAGCCACACUUAGGCACCGCGUCCAUUUUCGAGCGAGCCCAGCUUUUCAGAAUGGGCCCCUGUGACUCCCUGAACCCCAACGAUGGCCCUGGCCCCUCUGCUGAGCCCGGCCAGGACCGUAAACCCCAACCUUCUUGAAAGCGACAGCCAUUCCUGGUUUCGUGUGGCCGGAAUGGAAUGGGCAACAUGGUUCCCGCUCCAGUAAGCCCCCUCCUCUCCUCUCCUCUCCUCGUGUCCCCACUGGAGGCCUUAACAUCAGGCACAAAGUCUCAUGUCAGACAGAGCAACUGAGGCACAGUGCAGGUGAAGCCAUGCUUAGGGUCACACGGCAGAGGGGGGACACUGGGCCUCUGCUCUUACUCCUGUGUGUGUGUGUGUUUGUGUGUGUGUGUGUGUGUGUGUGUGAGAGAGAGAGAGAGAGAGAGAGAGAGAAAGCACCUACUCUGGGACAGUAGGUGGUGGGUGGAUGUAGCUAGGGAAGAAGAGAGAGUCCGGCCAGGUCCCCUCUCCAGCCAAGCCCAGGACCAUGCCACAGCCUCCAUCAACCAUUUCCUUGCCCCUUGGUCCUUCAAGGUUGCCCAAGCCCAGCCGCACAGACACCGCCCACCCCACCCCCACAGGCAGUCUUCACUAGCCUCAACUCUUCUCUGGGGUGCAGGGCCCAGGCCAUACAGGGCUUCACCCACAAAGAGCUGAGGGCCUGUCCAUCCACACAGGCGGGCAUCGAGAUUUCCAAAUAAAGAGAGUGUUAUGCCUGCUUGGAGCA